UGGAAUGCUGUCAAGGUGCAAACGCUCUCCAAUCAGCCCCUACUGAAGUCCCCAGCACCUCCCCUUCUACAUGUGGCAGCCCUGGGCCAGAAGCAAGGGAUUCUGGGAGCUCAGCCCCAGCUGAUCUUCCAGCCUCAUCGGAUUCCCCCCCUCUUUCCUCAAAAGCCUCUGAGUCUCUUCCAAACAUCCCACACACUUCAUCUGAGCCACCUGAACAGAUUUCCUGCUCGGGGCCCUCAUGGCCGAUUGGAUCAGGGCCGAAGGUAAGAGGAUGUUCAGUCAGAAAAAAAUAUUUUAUUUCCUUUAUUUGCCUCUAGGAGCACCGCCCCUUUCUUUGCCACCUGCUGACACUAAUAUUCUCUUCCUGCAGCUAGAUCCUAGUUCCUUUACCCUGAAGUAGGCAGACACGUGAGGUAUAUACAAACAUUGGAAUUUUAUAAACUGGUUCAGUAAGCAGGGAUCUGAUGUAGUUCACCUUUCAAAAUAAUCAUAUUGAAUUUUUUCUUAAUAUGUAAUUUUCCCUUUUAUUUCUAGUCCCUAAGAUUGAGAUACUAAGAAUCAAAACUAUCAAGAGGCCCUGGCCAGG